rnacentral:rRNA from 1 species
GUAGGGCGCGAGCGUUGUCCGGAUUUAUUGGGCGUAAAGAGCUCGUAGGCGGCUUGUUGCGUCGACUGUGAAAACCUGCGGCUCAACCGUGUGGUCUGCAGUCGAUACGGGCAGGCUGGAGUUCGGUAGGGGAGACUGGAAUUCCUGGUGUAGCGGUGAAAUGCGCAGAUAUCAGGAGGAACACCGGUGGCGAAGGCGGGUCUCUGGGCCGAUACUGACGCUGAGGAGCGAAAGCGUGGGGAGCGAACAGGAUUAGAUACCCUGGUAGUCCACGCUGUAAACGUUGGGCGCUAGGUGUGGGGGGCCUCUCCGGUUCCCUGUGCCGCAGCUAACGCAUUAAGCGCCCCGCCUGGGGAGUACGGCCGCAAGGCUA